UACGUAGGGUGCGAGCGUUAAUCGGAAUUACUGGGCGUAAAGCGUGCGCAGGCGGUUUUGUAAGCCAGAUGUGAAAUCCCCGGGCUUAACCUGGGAAUGGCAUUUGGGACUGCAAGGCUUGAGUGCGGCAGAGGAGACUGGAAUUCCUGGUGUAGCAGUGAAAUGCGUAGAUAUCAAGAGGAACACCAGUGGCGAAGGCGAGUCCCUGGACAACACCUGACACUGAGGCACGAAAGCUAGGGGAGCAAACAGG
rnacentral:rRNA from 1 species